UACUUUAAAUUAAUAAAAUUACUGUCGUUUACUAUUGAAUUAUAUGCUGCAGAGUUACACUGUUAUACGAGUAAUACAUAAUAAGUACUUUUAGAAAUGUAGUUAAUUCGAAGUUCGAACUUGAUACUAUUCAAUACUAUCUAUAAUAACAUGAAAAACCAUUCAAUAUAGAUUGUAUCGCUAUGAGUGACACGUGGACAUUUUUAUGUGGGAUAUUAGUGAUCUGUAUAUUGACUAUUCUCCACAUCCGUGUGUACAAUGUUAUUUGUACCAAUGUCUCCACAUUAAUUGGACUACGCGAGAUAUCACACAGCAACUGUUUCAGUUCCGAGCGAGUAAUUGACGAAAUGCAAAUCUUCCUUGUGAUUGCCUCCCUAGCUGCCUUUUCGAUAGUGAUAGUGAGUGCUGAAGAAGGAUCAUGCCCUCCGACUCUCCCUGUUGACAUAUGCAACGCCCAAUGCGGGCCUAACGCGGCAUGUGAAGGAAAGCAGUUAUGUUGUCCAACGGCGUGUGGUGGGUCCAUGUGUGUGGAUGCCAUGACGAAGAGACAUUUCACUACUUUUA